rnacentral:rRNA from 1 species
GACGAACGCUGGCGGCGUGCUUAACACAUGCAAGUCGAGCGGUAAGGCCUUUCGGGGUACACGAGCGGCGAACGGGUGAGUAACACGUGGGUGAUCUGCCCUGCACUUCGGGAUAAGCCUGGGAAACUGGGUCUAAUACCGGAUAUGACCUCCUAUCGCAUGGUGGGUGGUGGCAAGAUUUAUCGGUGCAGGAUGGGCCCGCGGCCUAUCAGCUUGUUGGUGGGGUAAUGGCCUACCAAGGCGACGACGGGUAGCCGACCUGAGAGGGGGACCGGCCACACUGGGACUGAGACACGGCCCAGACUCCUACGGGAGGCAGCAGUGGGGAAUAUUGCACAAUGGGCGAAAGCCUGAUGCAGCGACGCCGCGUGAGGGAUGACGGCCUUCGGGUUGUAAACCUCUUUCAGCAGGGACGAAGCGCAAGUGACGGUACCUGCAGAAGAAGCACCGGCUAACUACGUG